GGAGUUUGGACCGUGUCUCAGUUCCAAUGUGGGGGACCUUCCUCUCAGAACCCCUAAGGAUCGUAGGCUCGGUGGGCCGUUACCCCGCCGACUACCUAAUCCUACGCAUCCCCAUCCCUUACCGAUGAAUCUUUGCUCCUCGUUAGAUGCCCGCAAAGGAGAACAUAGGGCAUUAAUCCGACUUUCGCCGGGC
rnacentral:rRNA from 1 species